CGAAGGGGGCUAGCGUUGCUCGGAAUCACUGGGCGUAAAGCGCACGUAGGCGGAUCUUUAAGUCAGGGGUGAAAUCCUGGAGCUCAACUCCAGAACUGCCUUUGAUACUGGGGAUCUCGAGUCCGGAAGAGGUGAGUGGAACUCCGAGUGUAGAGGUGAAAUUCGUAGAUAUUCGGAAGAACACCAGUGGCGAAGGCGGCUCACUGGUCCGGUACUGACGCUGAGGUGCGAGAGCGUGGGGAGCAAACAGGAUUAGAUACCCUGGUAGUCCACGCCGUAAACGAUGGAUGCUAGCCGUUGGCGGGUUUACUCGUCAGUGGCGCAGCUAACGCAUUAAGCAUCCCGCCUGGGGAGUACGGUCGCAAGAUUA
rnacentral:rRNA from 1 species